rnacentral:rRNA from 1 species
ACGGGAGGCAGCAGUGGGGAAUAUUGCACAAUGGGGGAAACCCUGAUGCAGCGACGCCGCGUGAAGGAAGAAGUAUCUCGGUAUGUAAACUUCUAUCAGCAGGGAAGAUAAUGACGGUACCUGACUAAGAAGCCCCGGCUAACUACGUGCCAGCAGCCGCGGUAAUACGUAGGGGGCAAGCGUUAUCCGGAUUUACUGGGUGUAAAGGGAGCGUAGACGGUAAUGCAAGUCAGAAGUGAAAGCCCAGGGCUCAACCGUGGGACUGCUUUUGAAACUGCAAUACUGGAGUGCAGGAGAGGUAAGUGGAAUUCCUAGUGUAGCGGUGAAAUGCGUAGAUAUUAGGAGGAACACCAGUGGCGAAGGCGGCUUACUGGACUGUAACUGACGUUGAGGCUCGAAAGCGUGGGGAGCAAACAGGAUUAGAUACCCUGGUA